rnacentral:tRNA from 1 species
GCCCCCGUAGCUCAAUGGACAGAGCAAUUGCCUUCUAAGCAAGAGGUUGUGGGUUCGAAUCCCGCCGGGGGCG